CCAGAAUAAUUGGCGAGCUGGUUAGUCCCCUUUGAAGGGUCUCCUUAAAACCGUAUCUAAUUAGAGGAGACCAGAUAGCUGUAACAAUUAAGGUGGUUGCGUUACCUACCGCCAACUUCUACGAGUAGUUCCAGUUAUUCACGUCGAUGCAUCACGGCACUGCAAGCUUAUUUUUAGUGUAGAGGAGAAAGGACCUUUUAUACGGAGAUAUUUACGUUGAACGCGAUUAAACGUAAGCAACGCCGCCCGCGCCAUUCGUCUCGUUUCUG